AACGCACAUUGCGCCCGCCAGCACUCUGGCGGGCAUGCCUGUCCGAGCGUCAUUUACUACCCUCGGGCCCCCCAGGGGGCCCGGUGAUGGGGUCCGGCCCCGGCCGCCCCCGAAAUGCAGUGGCGAUCCCGCCGCGUCCUCCCCUGCGCAGUAGCACAAUCUCGCACCGGAAGCGCGGAGGCGGUCACGCCCGUAAAACGCCCCAACUCAACAGUUGACCUCGGAUCAGGUAGGAGUACCCGCUGAACUUAA
rnacentral:misc_RNA from 1 species